CAGCAGCCGCGGGAAUACGAAGGGUGCAAGCGUUACUCGGAAUUACUGGGCGUAAAGCGUGCGUAGGUGGUGGUUUAAGUCCGUUGUGAAAGCCCUGGGCUCAACCUGGGAAUUGCAGUGGAUACUGGGUCACUAGAGUGUGGUAGAGGAUAGUGGAAUUUCCGGUGUAGCAGUGAAAUGCGUAGAGAUCGGAAGGAACAUCUGUGGCGAAGGCGACUAUCUGGGCCAACACUGACACUGAGGCACGAAAGCGUGGGGAGCAAACAGGAUUAGAUACCCCUGUAGUCCCUGUCUUUAUACA
rnacentral:rRNA from 1 species